rnacentral:rRNA from 1 species
UACAGAGGGUGCGAGCGUUGUCCGGAAUCACUGGGCGUAAAGGGCGCGUAGGUGGCCCCUCAAGCGUGCGGUGAAAGUCAGGGGCUCAACCCCUGAUCGGCCGUGCGAACUGGGGAGCUUGAGCACUGUAGAGGCAGGCGGAAUUCCGGGUGUAGCGGUGGAAUGCGUAGAGAUCCGGAAGAACACCGGUGGCGAAGGCGGCCUGCUGGGCAGUUUGCUGACACUGAGGCG